GGUCUCGGUGGCCUAGUGGUAGCACGCGCCUGCGGUAUGGGUGAAACGCGGGUUCAACUCUCGCCUGGGCCA